GGCAAAUAAUGGCAAACUAUGUCAAUGAUAAAUAAAGUAAUAUAUUGAUUUUCGGCUAUUCAUUCAGGAACUCAUAAUCGCCUGGUCGCUGGUUCAAGUCCAGCAGGGGCCACCA
rnacentral:tRNA from 1 species